UACGUAGGUGGCAAGCGUUGUCCGGAUUUACUGGGCGUAAAGAGCGCGCAGGCGGUCGUUCAAGUCGCGUGUGAAAGCCCCCGGCUCAACUGGGGAGGGUCACGCGAUACUGAUCGACUCGAAGGCAGGAGAGGGUAGUGGAAUUCCCGGUGUAGUGGUGAAAUGCGUAAAUAUCGGGAGGAACACCAGUGGCGAAGGCGACUACCUGGCCUGUUCUUGACGCUGAGGCGCGAAAGCUAGGGAGCAAACGGG
rnacentral:rRNA from 1 species